GAUGAACGCUGGUGGCGUGCCUAAUACAUGCAAGUAGAACGGUGAAGCUUGGUGCUUGCACCGAGCGGAUGAGUUGCGAACGGGUGAGUAACGCGUAGAUAACCUGCCUCUUAGCGGGGGAUAACUAUUGGAAACGAUAGCUAAUACCGCAUAAAAGUCGACAUCGCAUGAUGUUGACUUGAAAGGUGCAAUUGCAUCACUAAGAGAUGGACCUGCGUUGUAUUAGCUAGUUGGUGAGGUAACGGCUCACCAAGGCGACGAUACAUAGCCGACCUGAGAGGGUGAUCGGCCACACUGGGACUGAGACACGGCCCAGACUCCUACGGGAGGCAGCAGUAGGGAAUCUUCGGCAAUGGGGGCAACCCUGACCGAGCAACGCCGCGUGAGUGAAGAAGGUUUUCGGAUCGUAAAGCUCUGUUGUAAGAGAAGAACGAGUGUGAGAGUGGAAAGUUCACGCUGUGACGGAUCUACCAGAAAGGACG
rnacentral:rRNA from 1 species